rnacentral:rRNA from 1 species
GACGAACGCUGGCGGCGUGCUUAACACAUGAAAGUCGAACGGAAAGGCCCCUUUUGGGGUACUCGAGUGGCGAACGGGUGAGUAACACGUGAGUAACCUGCCCUUGACUUCGGGCUAACUUCAGGAAACUGGGGCGAAUACCGGAUAGGAAUCCUUGCUGCAUGGUGGGGGUUGGAAAGCUUCGGCGGUUUUGGUGGGACUCGCGGCUUAUCCGCUUGUUGGUGGGGUAGUGGCUUACCAAGGCGUUGACGGGUAGCCGGCCUGAGAGGGUGACCGGCCACACUGGGACUGAGAGACGGCCCCGACUCCUACUGGAGGCAGCAGUGGGGAAUAUUGCACAAUGGGCGGAAGCCGGAUGCAGCAACGCCGCGGGCGGGAUGACGGUCUUCGGGUUGUAAACCGCUUUCAGCAGGGGCGAAGCUUGUGGUGACGGUACCUGCAGAAGAAGCACCGGCUAACUACGUG